GCCUCGGUAGAUCAGUCGGCCGAGCGCGUGCUUUCUAAGCCCGUGGCCGUGGGUUCGAGCCACGCUCUAGGUG